GAUGAACGCUAGCGGCAGGCUUAAUACAUGCAAGUCGAGGGGCAGCAUGAUUGUAGCAAUACAAUUGAUGGCGACCGGCAAACGGGUGCGGAACACGUACACAACCUUCCAACAAGUGGGGGAUAGCCCAGAGAAAUUUGGAUUAAUACCCCGUAACAUAGCGAUGUGGCAUCACAUUGCUAUUAUAGAUUUUUCGCUUGUUGAUGGGUGUGCGGCUGAUUAGAUAGUUGGCGGGGUAACGGCCCACCAAGUCUACGAUCAGUAGCUGAUGUGAGAGCAUGAUCAGCCACACGGGCACUGAGACACGGGCCCGACUCCUACGGGAGGCAGCAGUAAGGAAUAUUGGACAAUGGACGCAAGUCUGAUCCAGCCAUGCCGCGUGAAGGAUUAAGGUCCUCUGGAUUGUAAACUUCUUUUAUAAGGGACGAAAAAAGGCUUUUCUAAGUCGUCUGACGGUACCUUAUGAAUAAGCUCCGGCUAACUCCGUGCCAGCCGCCGCAGUAA
rnacentral:rRNA from 1 species